AGUGAACGCUGGCGGUAGGCCUAACACAUGCAAGUCGAACGGCAGCACAGUAAGAGCUUGCUCUUACGGGUGGCGAGUGGCGGACGGGUGAGGAAUACAUCGGAAUCUACUUUUUCGUGGGGGAUAACGUAGGGAAACUUACGCUAAUACCGCAUACGACCUACGGGUGAAAGCAGGGGAUCUUCGGACCUUGCGCGAUUGAAUGAGCCGAUGUCGGAUUAGCUAGUUGGCGGGGUAAAGGCCCACCAAGGCGACGAUCCGUAGCUGGUCUGGGAGGAUGAUCAGCCACACUGGAACUGAGACACGGUCCAGACUCCUACGGGAGGCAGCAGUGGGGAAUAUUGGACAAUGGGCGCAAGCCUGAUCCAGCCAUACCGCGUGGGUGAAGAAGGCCUUCGGGUUGUAAAGCCCUUUUGUUGGGAAAGAAAAGCAGCAGGUUAAUACCCCGCUGUUCUGACGGUACCCAAAGAAUAAGCAUCGGCUAACUUCGUG
rnacentral:rRNA from 1 species